GGAUGAAUAUUGGUCAAUGGGCGGGAGCCUGAACCAGCCAAGCCGCGUGAGGGAGGAAGGCCCUAUGGGUCGUAAACCUCUUUUGUCAGGGAACAAAAGCGAGUAUGUAUACUAGUCUGAGUGUACCUGAAGAAAAAGCAUCGGCUAACUCCGUGCCAGCAGCCGCGGUAAUACGGAGGAUGCGAGCGUUAUCCGGAUUUAUUGGGUUUAAAGGGUGCGUAGGCGGCGGUGCAAGUCAGCGGUAAAAGCCCGGGGCUCAACCCCGGCGAGCCGUUGAAACUGCAGUGCUAGAGAAGGCGAGAGGUACGCGGAAUGCGCAGCGUAGCGGUGAAAUGCUUAGAUAUUGCGCAGAACUCCGAUUGCGAAGGCAGCGUACUGGCGCCUGACUGACGCUGAGGCACGAAGGCGUGGGUAUCGAACAGGAUUAGAUACCC
rnacentral:rRNA from 1 species